GCGACACUAGCUCAGUUGGUAGAGCGCAACCUUGCCAAGGUUGAGGUCACGAGUUCGAACCUCGUGUGUCGACUACCA
rnacentral:tRNA from 1 species